UGCAUGUUGAGCUUUAGUUAUAGAUUUGAGAUUGGUAAGGCUUACUACGGAUCUUGGAGACUUUAUGCCGACCCAAGUUCUAAUGCCGGUCUGGCCCGUAAAAUCGGAUCGUGAUAUGCUCUCCACCAUGUUAUGAGUUCGGUUUUCUGAUGCUUGAGGGUCCUUUGGGUUGCUAGUCUUCUUGACGCGAUUUUUGGAUAGAAUCAUUUUUCUUAGCUAUUUGAUUCCUUUGUGCUUCCUCUGGUUGCCUUUGCCUGCUCAGGGACGACUCAGGUUCAGUUUGGAGGUGAGGGCAGCAACGUCAUCUCUCAAACGUCCAUAUCCAAUUGUCGGGGCAAGCUGCAAUUAGGGUUUGGUUGGAUUGGGUCUUAAGCCUUUCUUUUGGUUUGAUUUUGGCUUGGGCAAUCUGUUAGAGCCCUUUUUUGUGAUUAGACUAAACUAGAUGGUGUGUUUGGUCUGCCCCUAUUUUUAGUUGCACCCCUUAUGUUGUGCUAGGCCUCAAGCUUCUUUUCCCACCAUAAUGAAUUAUUAUCUUUGAAAAAAAAAAUUGGAUAAAGGCAUUUGCAGUUAUAAAUUGGCUGAUCGUAACGCUAAUAGGAGUUGACUUAGUAUAUGUCAAAGGCAUAUACUAAGCUGAAAUGGUUUUACGUAUGUCCUUCUGAAAUGGUACUACCUAUGAAGAUAAGCAGAAAAGAAGAGAAUGGUAUUACGUAUGUCCUUGAUGAGAAUUAUGUGCGAAUAUUUUGGUUGGAGAAGCAUAGAACAAAAACUGCAGAACAUUCUCAGUUAUACAAUAUAUAUUUAUUCAAGGAAGAAGUGAUUGUUAACCAACAUAUUCAAUGCCAGGAAUGUACUUCCAAGGAAACCAUCAACAAAAAAGAUUGGAUGAGAUCAUUAAUGCAAUAACAAGCCCAUAACAGAAGCUAGGGCCACAAAACACAGAAUAAACAUUGGAAAGAAAAAGGUUAUAAGAGAAUCACAGUCACCAGAUUACCUUGGGAGUAGCAGCAGCAUGCCAUGGCAGCUAUUCUCUGAUCCAGUUGCAUCUUCUUCAAUCCAAUUAUGUGGAGCAACAGUAAGGAAAUAAGAAGAGGAGUUUACAUCAACACCCAUUAUUUCAAUUUGGUUUUCCAUUUUCUCCACCCCAAGCCAAAUUGAAUUCCGAUUGAACAGAGGAUCUUCCCCGAUAGAACUGCUUCUUUUGAUUGCAAGCUGGAGGCAUUCACAAAUUCUGGCCUCUCCUCCGUUGUACCGACGAUAAAAGAAGCACAGCAGCGAGGAAUUGCAGAGGAGUGAUAAAAUUGGUUGAAGGUGGCGGUGAACGGGCUCUGCAAAAUGCAGUGUGUGUGUUUGACCGCGUUCGUAAAACUACGGGUCGUUGAUUCUGCAAACAAGUUCAAAAAUCAAAAAGGAUCUUAAGGAUUAUUAACUCAAACGAUUUGUCGUAUAA
rnacentral:misc_RNA from 1 species